AAAAUCAAAAAAAAAAGAAAAAGAUUUUGUCCGACCAGAUUCGUCGAAAGACAAGAGUCGCACUAGAAUUUUAUAUAUCAAGCAAGGAAAAAGAUUCAGCAGAUGCCGAAAAUCUUUUGCAGGCUAUUAUUAAGCCACACAUGCUACGAAAAAUUUUUGGAUUUAAGGGAGAUUAUAAAUAGAGCAAAGGAUAUUGUUGAAAUAUUAAAUAUCAGAGAGAAUAUGGAU